rnacentral:misc_RNA from 1 species
GAUGAAGAACGUAGCGAAAUGCGAUAAGUAAUGUGAAUUGCAGAAUUCAGUGAAUCAUCGAAUCUUUGAACGCACAUUGCGCCCGCCAGUAUUCUGGCGAGCAUGCCUGUUCGAGCGUCAUUUCAACCAUCAAGCCCCAGGCUUGUGUUGGAGCCCUGCGGCUGCCGCAGCCUCCCAAAACCAGUGGCGGGCUCGCUAUCACACCGAGUGCAGUAGUUUACUCUUCGCUCAGGGCGUGUGGCGGGUGCUAGCCGUGAAACCCCCAACUUCUCAAGGUUGACCUCGGAUCAGGUAGGAAUACACGCUGAACUUAAGCAUAUCAAUAAGCGGAGGA